CCUAAUACAUGCAAGUCGAACGCACAGCGAAAGGUGCUUGCACCUUUCAAGUGAGUGGCGAACGGGUGAGUAACACGUGGACAACCUGCCUCAAGGCUGGGGAUAACAUUUGGAAACAGAUGCUAAUACCGAAUAAAACUUAGUGUCGCAUGACACAAAGUUAAAAGGCGCUUCGGCGUCACCUAAAGAUGGAUCCGCGGUGCAUUAGUUAGUUGGUGGGGUAAAGGCCUACCAAGACAAUGAUGCAUAGCCGAGUUGAGAGACUGAUCGGCCACAUUGGGACUGAGACACGGCCCAAACUCCUACGGGAGGCUGCAGUAGGGAAUCUUCCACAAUGGGCGAAAGCCUGAUGGAGCAACGCCGCGUGUGUGAUGAAGGCUUUCGGGUCGUAAAGCACUGUUGUAUGGGAAGAACAGCUAGAAUAGGAAAUGAUUUUAGUUUGACGGUACCAUACCAGAAAGGGACGGCUAAAUACGUGCCAGCAGCCGCGGUAAUACGUAUGUCCCGAGCGUUAUCCGGAUUUAUUGGGCGUAAAGCGAGCGCAGACGGUUUAUUAAGUCUGAUGUGAAAGCCCGGAGCUCAACUCCGGAAUGGCAUUGGAAACUGGUUAACUUGAGUGCAGUAGAGGUAAGUGGAACUCCAUGUGUAGCGGUGGAAUGCGUAGAUAUAUGGAAGAACACCAGUGGCGAAGGCGGCUUACUGGACUGCAACUGACGUUGA
rnacentral:rRNA from 1 species